GGGGCCGUAGCUCAAUUGGGAGAGCACCGGCUUUGCAAGCCGGGGGUUAGGGGUUCGAGCCCCCUCGGCUCCA
rnacentral:tRNA from 1 species